rnacentral:tRNA from 1 species
GCCCAGGUGGCGAAAUUGGCAGACGCGCCAGCUUGAGGUGCUGGUGGGGUAUUAAUUCCCCGUGGAGGUUCGAGUCCUCUCCUGGGCA